CAGGCAUAAGAGAUAGUAACUUGAACCUGUAUUCAAGAGGAAAGUCCGAGCUGCUGUAAGACAGUGUUCCAUUUAACUAAUGGCCGUAGCAAUACGAGGGAAAGUGCAACAGAAAACAAACUUCUACCUUUUGGUAGUAAAGGUGAAAAGGUGGUGUAAGAGACCACCAGUCUUUAUAGCAAUAUAGAGAGCUUGUAAACCCAACAUGGCAGCAAGAAACAAAUGGUUAGCGUCUUACAAUGCUAUUGUUUCGCUAGAGGCACAACGCAAGAUGUGCAGUAGAUUAAUGCUAUCACUACAAAACUCGGCUUAUCUUAUGCCUGAAAA
rnacentral:RNase_P_RNA from 1 species